CUAGUGCUUAGUAUUUGAACACCUGCUUCCAUCUCCUCUUCUGGCAUAGCUGUUUGAACAGAGGAGAGUCUUCUCAAACAUCUCAAGAUGGAAGGAACAUAAGCAGCUUCCCCAGUGGUAUAACCUGCUGUUGCCUCUUUUAUCAUUGCCUGUUAUUCUUUGUGGAAAUUGCGUGCAGUGAGUGCAUGAGAAGGACUAGAAUUGAAGAUCAGCAGUUUCUGCAUGUGUCAAGGAGGAGACACAUAUCCAGCCUUUUCUUACCUGCAACUACAGAUCUGAAGAAAGGCAUGAUAGCAGAUAAGGUGUGUUGACAGACAGAAUAGGCCCUAUGGCAAAUUGCCCAUCAGACCUGAGGCAUUUGGCUGACAGCCCAGGGUGAAGAAAGAAAUAAGGAGGAGAGAACAAGAGACUGACUGAAGUAGGAAAACUAGAGAAGAGAAGGGUGAGCAUGGCGGAGGUGAAGGACAGAAAGUUGGC
rnacentral:lncRNA from 1 species